GAUGAACGCUGGCGGCGUGCCUAAUACAUGCAAGUCGAGCGAACAGACGAGGAGCUUGCUCCUCUGACGUUAGCGGCGGACGGGUGAGUAACACGUGGAUAACCUACCUAUAAGACUGGGAUAACUUCGGGAAACCGGAGCUAAUACCGGAUAACAUGUUGAACCGCAUGGUUCAACAGUGAAAGACGGUCUUGCUGUCACUUAUAGAUGGAUCCGCGCUGCAUUAGCUAGUUGGUAAGGUAACGGCUUACCAAGGCAACGAUGCGUAGCCGACCUGAGAGGGUGAUCGGCCACACUGGAACUGAGACACGGUCCAGACUCCUACGGGAGGCAGCAGUAGGGAAUCUUCCGCAAUGGGCGAAAGCCUGACGGAGCAACGCCGCGUGAGUGAAGAAGGUCUUCGGAUCGUAAAACUCUGUUAUUAGGGAAGAACAAAUGUGUAAGUAACUGUGCACGUCUUGACGGUACCUAAUCAGAAAGCCACGGCUAACUACGUG
rnacentral:rRNA from 1 species